UACAGAGGGUGCGAGCGUUGUUCGGAAUUAUUGGGCGUAAAGCGCUGGUAGGUGGCUUGUUAAGUCGCGUGUGAAAGCUCCAGGCUCAACCUGGAAAGUGCGCGCGAAACUGGCGAGCUUGAGUGUCGGAGAGGAUCGCGGAAUUCCGGGUGUAGAGGUGAAAUUCGUAGAUAUCCGGAGGAACACCGGAGGCGAAGGCGGCGAUCUGGAAGACCACUGACACUGAGCAGCGAAAGCGUGGGGAGCAAACAGG
rnacentral:rRNA from 1 species